rnacentral:rRNA from 1 species
AUUGAACGCUGGCGGCAGACCUAACACAUGCAAGUCGAGCGAGCGGCGGACGGGUGAGUAAUGUAUGGGGACUGCCCGAUAGAGGGGGGUAACUACUGGAAACGGUUGCUAAUACCGCCUACUGUCGGAUAACCCAUAUGGGAUUAGGUAGUGUGUAAGGUAAUGGCUUACCUAGGCGACGAUCCCUAGCUGGUCUGAGAGGAUGAUCAGCCACAAUGCGACUGUGACACGGCCCAGACUCAUACGGAGGCAGAAGUGGGGAAUAUUGCACAAUGGGCGCAAGCCUGAUGCAUCCAUGCCGCGUGUAUGAAGAAGGCCUUAGGGUUGUAAAGUCCUUUCAGUCGGGAGGCGUUACCUACAGAAGAAGCACCGGCUAACUCCGUGCCAGCAGCCGCGGUAAUUC